CAGAGCGCUAAUGGCCUGCAGCGACAGGAGAGAGUGGGAAGUGGACAGACACAUUUGAAAAGAAAAACGGCUCUCAGCAUCGGCUAAGGCUAAGUCCUCAUUCUUUUACUCUCCACAGGUCUAUUUCUGGCUCCUCUUUCCACAGCACGAGCAGCUCCUCAAAGGAAAGAGCUUUCUCCUGACUGCCCUGACCUCCAGCCGAGCUCCGAAAAAGGAGGACAGGGUUGGCGCUCGCAGUGUUGACCCUGAACACAGCACAUCUUGCCUGAUGUAGACCCAUCUGCUGAGCAAGGUGAACAACGGCAAAUGGCUAAGUCUGAAAUGUCAGGCGGAGGUGUUCUGUACCAGCACGCGUGACCUCGAAUGACUCGCUCUCGUCAUAGAGGCGCUUUCUGCAAACGUGGCGAGGGGAGCACAGGGCACAGCACAGUUUCGAAGAUGCUGAACUUCCAAGCUGCUCGCCACUGGUGGAGAACCUGAGGCCAGGGCCCUGUCUCCCAGCACCACCCGCAGCGGACCACACCACGCGGAAGCCUGAUUUAUCCCGGCAGCCCCACUUCCGGGUGCGCUGGGCCUUUUCCAGGCUCUCCCGCCGGCGGCCCGGGGAGGGUUUCAGUCUGCGUGCCCGGAACUGGAGCUGGGUGUGAAUCGUGAGGCGCCUGACACCUAGAAGGCACUGGGCUGAGGAGAGGAGGAGGAAAGAAAGUGGAGGCCAGGCGGCCGGGACGGGACGCGGUCUCUCCUGGGACCUCUGCCGCCCAGGCGCCUCGGGCCACAGGGCAACCUCGCUGCUUUCCCCGUGCUGUUGCAGGACGAUCGCGUGCACAAGGAGGCGCCCUCGGCCGCCCGGGAACCCCAGGGCAGCCCGGGCCGCGGCGCCUCCGCAGUCUCCGUGUGCACUGGGGCUGCGGCCAGCAAGCGGCGGCGAACGUCCCGUGAGAACGGAAGAUGCUCGGUCGGGUUGGACCCGGCCUGGGCGCGAUGCCCCGGUUCCCUUCUGCCGCCACCGCCCCCCAACCCCGCCCGCCUCGCCCGCCUCGCGGUCGCCAUGGCAACCUCCGCGUGCCGAGCUUUCUCCCGGUGUGAUCAGGCCCGGAACCGUCUGGAACCCGCAGUGCUGUACGUGAGGAUUUAAGGACAGAGCAGCUCGACCCAGCUUUGAGGCGGGCGGACCGUUUCCUGCCGGAAGGAAACGCUGCUGGCCGUCGGAUCUGGGUUCCCCGCCACCCUGCUGACUCCUUCGGCCUCGGGGGCUGUGGGGCUGCAAGCUCUCAGCCGGCCCGGCCCACGUCCUGCUAGCUGCGUCCUGGCUUCCCGCAGUCUCCAAACUGAAAAUGUCCAACAUCUUUCUUCUGGCUUUCAGAAGCAUAGCACACCAUUGUCCUCCAUGGUCGCCCUGCUGUCCUUGCUACACCAGGCAACCGGGAGAAUGGCCAGAAAGUGAAGUCUUUGCACCCUGAGGCUAAUAUCACAUUGCUCUGCGGAGAUGGAUUCAGCCCAGAUUUUCCCCACUAACACAUAAUGAGAUUGAAAAGAGAAAAGUCUUGGUGACUCGCUGAAGAUCCAGUGGGCAGUUACUGAAGGAUUCAAAUCUGUAAAGGAGUCUUCUAACGUCAAGAUGAAAGAAAUGAGCCUCAAAAGUGAAAUAAAUGACCGACUGACAACCCGGAGCUGCUGGAUGGGGAGUCUGAGCCCAGGACCCAGGGCUGAUUGGCUCCAACACCCUGUCUGCCCUCACAGCAUUCUCUCAGCCCCAGAAGAGAAAGUCUGUAGUCGUGUGCAAUUCUCUUGUCACUUUGCUAUCAUAUAUGAGACUAAAUAGCAGAAGGCUGGCUUUCCCGAAGGAGUGUGGGAUUUGACUUCACACAGGCCUGUAGUUCCCAUGGAUCAAAGACACAUGCAUGUGGAGCCAUGCUUUCAAUUCUAGGUGCUUCCACAAUGAAAGGAUGAAUUGGGGUCAGUGGUCCCCACAACAUCUUCUGGCCUAACAGGAAAGAGAAACGUAAAAAGUGCUUUUGAAAAGACAGAUGCUAGGGAUCAAAUCCCAGGAACACCUCUUCUUAAAGCAGGAGUUUUGCACAGCAUCUGUAAGGAUGUGUCAGAUGACAAAUGGGUGUGAGAUGGAGUCCACUGUUUUCCUAGGACCUGGAAACAUUUGUGUCCUAGUCACUCCUCAGACGGACAGGCACUUUUUCCAAAUAAGGUUAGCAAUUUGAGGUUUACCUUUUAGGAGUUAUUUGAAUAAAGGAAACAGGAAAUACAAGAAAUCACCUUGUAGUACAAAAUAAGCUCUCUUAUUACAUAGGACGAAAUCAGCUUUCCUCUGUCAGUGGCUGCUGCCCAUCCCCAGUUCCCCAAUGCAAUGCCAGCCUGGAAAUAAGUUUCAGCAAAGACAUACUUAAUUUUCUGUUUGAAAGAACAUCGAAAGGAGGUGGACACUUCAGGACACUGGGCAUACACCAAAAGGUAUGACAGUCAAUGCUCUCUUUCUGUCACCAUGGUGAAAUACCUCUGAUAAUUCAGAAAGGUGUGUCAGCUCACAGUGCCUGAGGUUCCAUUCGCGAUCAAGUGGACCACAGACCAGACCUCUGGUCAGGGUGCCUGGUGAAAAUUCAGGGCACACAUGCUCACUUUCCACCCAGGAAGAGAGCAGGACCAUGCAGUUUCCUAUGGAGAAUAUUCCAGAGACAAAGAUUUCUCACAGGGCCCCACCUCCUAAAGGUCCAAGCACCUUCCUCCUUGCCACCAUGGUGACCACCGUGCCUCAGGAGACGCCCAUCUAAACUACAGAAGGCAGCCAGGUUCCCUACAGUCAGACACCCAUCGAUCCCACCUGGGUGGAAGAAGGUGGCUGAAUCACUUCAAAAUCCUCAGCCUGUCUGAGUCCCCACUAAAAUGUAAGCAAAGGGAGAAUAAGGACUUGAUCGUAUCCACCACUGAAUCCUAGAGUCUAGAAAAGAUCCUGCCAGAGUCAGCAGCACAAUAUUUAGUGGUGGGAGGAAAAAUGAAGGAAGGGGAAGAAGGGCAAAAUGGAAGAAGGAAAGCAAGUGGGCAGAAAUACGCCAGUUGAUUCAGAUUUUCUGGAUUGACAAGUAUAAUUGUUAUAACUGCAGCUGAAAUAACACUUGCUGAUGCCACCACUGUGUAUAAAGGGAUGUGGAGAAGUUGAGAGUAUUUAUCAUAACUGGGGUGGGAGGACUAACACCUUAGGGGUGGCCUGAACUGAGAGCCUGAGUUAAAGCUGAGUGACUUCAAGCAAAGGUCUCCUUUGUCCUUCUAGGUCCCGGAAGACAAGGGCUCUAGCUCAGGUUUGGUGCCUGAAGGCAGAAAAACACGUGGACCUGCUCAUGGGGUUCUCACAGUCUAAUGAGGGACCUAAGGGCUGGGUGUGCAAGUUCAAUGCAGGUCUGUAGGGCCAAGAUCCAAAAAGAGCUCCCCAGCAGGAGCUGUGUUCUGUGGCUGGGGGCUUGCAAGCAUGGAAGAUGGAGUUGCCUGAGAGGAGGCAUCUGUGUGUGACCUGGAAAGGUGAUGAGCUCGGAGCUUAGACGCUGCGUGGUUGUCCUUUCUGAGCAAUGAUGCUGUCAGGCAGACUGACCCCUCCCUUUUCUAUCUAGAAGAACUGGACUGAAGAUAGAAUAACGAAACUGAUUUUAAAAAACUGAUGCAAAACUCCCUCCUCCUCCUGUGUUCCCUACAUUCCUCAGGAGAGCCAUGAAAUUAUUAAGUCUGAGGACAGCCUUCAUCCAUAUUCUGUGGUUUCAGAAGAAACACACCCCAAACCCCACUGUCCCUCUUGGUCUUGGCUUAAGAGCAGACACCAAGGGCUGAAAUGGAAUGAAGCACGCCAGCCAGUACGCCAGCUAGUAUGCCAGCCCCUGCUCUAUGAGCUCACGUCUCUCAUUUCCUUAUGGCCUGAAAGUUCUUUUAGUCACUUGCCAGGGACUCUCCCCAAAUAGACAUGGAAGUUUGGUGCAUGGUUCUAAGGUUGUUUGCAUGUUGCAAAAAGGAAAUGCAAGAAACUGCUUUGUGAAACAUCAAAGUUCUAUUGCAAGGAGUGAUAUCUUCAUGACUUAACAUAUGACUUGAAGGUCACACAAUCAUAGUUUGAAGAUAUGUUGAGUUUGUGUUUCUCCAGAUUCUCAGGUUUGAAACUCCAAGCACACUGUGGAGGAAAGCAAAGCAAUAAGUGGGAGAAUGUCAAGAAGGUUUUGCCUCUGAGAAGGAUCAUAGGAGGAGCCACUAUUGUAAAUGAAUCCGUGGAGCUUUGCAAAGUCUUAAAAAGGACCAUUCAGUUGCAUAAUAUGAGUCCUUAACUUUAUAGCAUAUGGGACACAUAGUUGCUGUGACGUGGUGGGAGAUAAAUGUUGUCAUGUGAUGUUGAAAGAAGAGCAAUAGCUCAGAAUGUGAGGAGGAGGUUGGUGUAUUGGAUUAUUCUGAAAUAAAUUGCUGUCAUCUGGAAGGCUUGCUGUGGCUGGGAAGGAGCUGCCAAGCAGUAAGGCGCUGUGGCUGCCAUUGUGAGGAUGGUGGUGGACUCCUUUCAGUUUCCGGAAAACACCUUGAACAAAACACCUUGAAUGCACAGCCAAGAGAAAUGGGUCAUCCCAGGCCUCUUUCUUCUUUGUAUAUUUUCUCCUACUCAGAACUGUUUUCUCAAUUCUCCAGUGAACUGCUUCAGAUAAAUGAAGUAUGGCAUCAGUCGACAGCUGGGACUUUCCACCAGGGCAAUUUGGCACCACCACUACUCUGAGGGGACAUCUGGCAACAUCUACGGAUAUUUUUGGUAGUCAUAAUUGAAAUAGUGCUAUGGGCACCUAGGCGGUAGAGGUUAAAAUGCUCCUAAGCAGCCUCCAAUGUGUGGGAUGUCCUCUCUUCCAUGCCAGCAUGGAAUUAUCCAGCCUCACAAGGCCAUGGCACUAAGGCUGAGAAAUUCCUGGUUUCAGAUAAAUUUGGACUUUCUGUUUUUCAAAUUAUUUAGAUAAGUUCUAUUCACAAUGACUUUCAAGACCAAAAUAGAAACUUCAAUUGUAGGUAAUUGACACCUGUGAUAUCUAUUUCUUGCAAAUUUAUGAAAAAUACACUCACUUCCCUAAUUCUCAUGUUGAUGGUAUCUCAUGUAAUUUUCUGAGAAACAAUGCAAUCAUCUUGAAAUAAACUCAUGAUAAUUUAUCCUAUACUUAGCUACCACUCUCCGUCUUUGCAAAGUAACAUAGCCAAACAGGGCAAAAUGACAAUUUUCUCGGAUUUUUAUCUGGGAUUCUUUCUGAUAAUCUUUGAUGGAUAUCAAGUCUCAGUGAAAGAGUGCAUUUCAGGAUCCUGGGAAUAUUAAUAACCACACAGAAAUACUGUCAGUCUGAGAAAAUUGCUUCAAUACAUAUAAGAUUCUUUAUCAAGAUAAAUAAGAAUAGCUAACAUCAAAUGCUUGCUUUUUCCUAGUUUCUUUCCUAGUUGUUUUCUGUGAUUCAUUUUAUGUGACUACUCAAGAUAAACAUUUGUACUCUUAUUUUAGCCAUGUGUUGUCUCAAACCUAGAGCAGUAGAGAAGCUCACCUGCUAGUGACUCCCCGUGAUUAGAUCAGUGAUCUCAGCCUGCAAGAUAAGGGGUCGCCCCUCCUCUAGCCCAGAUAGAAGCUAAACAGCACAGAACUAUAUGACCUGAAUCUGCAGCCAUGGGGACCCCGCCCCUGCAGAGCACAAAUUGAGGGUGCAGGGAGCCAUGGCGUCAUCACAAAAGAGGGCAGACUGUUCUGGGUUCCUACUGGCUCCAAUACAAAUUUUAGGAUUGUUUUUCCUAGCUCUGUGAAGAAUGCUGGUGAUAUUUUGAUUAGAAUUGCAUUAAACCUAUAUAUCAUUUUGGUAAUGUGGCCACUUUGACAAUACUAGUUCUGCCUAUUCAGGAACAGCAGGUGUCUUUCCGUUUUCUAAUGUCUCCUUCGAUGUCUGUUUUUUUGUGUGUGUUUUUUCAGAGUACUAUAGUUUCCAUUAUGCAGGCCUUUCACUUCCUUGGUUAGGUUAAUUCCUAGGUAUUUAAAUAUUUUUUUAAAGCUACCAUGAGUGAAAUUGUUUUCCUGAUUUCUUUCUCAGUGAGUUCACUGUUGGUGUACAGGAAUGCUAUUGAUUUUUGGUGCUGAUUUCCUAUCCUGCCACUUGCUGAAUUUAUUUAUUAGUUCUAGGAGUCUUUUGGUGGUGCUUUUUGGGGUCUUCUAUGCAAAGUGGCAUGUCACCUGCAAAAAGAGAGUUUGAAUUUGUCCUUUCCUAUUUAUAUUCCUCUUAUGUCUUUCUCUUGCCUAACUUUAGUAAGAAUGACUAUCAUCAGGGACUCAAAAGUAAAUCUUAAGGUUAUUCGGGAAAAGGAAUGUUUCUACACUUUUGAUGGGAAUGUAAACUAAUACAACCAAUAUGGAAAUCAAUAUAGCAGUUCCUUAAAAAACUAAAAAGAGAAAUUCCAUUUAACCCAGCUAAAUCUCUUCUGGGUAUCUUUCUAAAGGACCUAAAGGCAUUAUAUCACAGUGAUAAAUGUAUGCCCAUUCUUGUAGCAGAAUGAUUGAAAAUUACUGAAUCAUGAAAACAGUCUAAAUGUCUAUCGACAGAUGAAUAUAUAAAGAAAAUGUGAUAUAUAUAUAUAUAUAUACACACACACACACAUAUACAUGAUGGAGUACUACUCAGUCAUGAAGAAGAAUAAAUUUUAGCGUUUGUAGGGAAAUGGAUGAAUCUUGAGACCAUAAAACUAAGUGAAAUAAAUCAGACAUAGAAAGUCAAAUAUUGCAUGGUUUCUCUUACAUAGAAACCCAAAAUAUAGAGAAUUUAGAGAGCAAAAUAAAAGACAGAUGGUAGGAAAUAGAAGGGUAGAAGGAAAGAGUAGAGGGCAGUGGGAAAAGGUGGAAUGAACAUAUCAAUAUGAGAUAUGAAUAUGUACCAGUCCCUAAGAUGAAUGUAAUUAUUAUGCACCACAAAAUAAGAUAUCUAUCUAUCUACCUCUCUGUGAAAGAGGGUAGACAAAGGAGGUGAUAAGAAAAGCUAUUGGAAAGCUCUUUACUAAAGAGAGACAAAGGACCACAGGAACAUCCCAGAGGCAAAAACAGGGGUCACAAACUCAAAUUCUCAUAGGAAUACGACCUUGAGGAGGUAACAAAGCCCAGUGACCAGGUUCGGGAACUCUGGCCCCAAGUGCUUCAGUUUAAUCCCAACUGCACCAUUCAGCCGAUGCAUGAACUCAGGAAAGUCAUUGACUUGUGCACAAGAUCCUUUGCCUCAAAUGGUGCUUGCUCAUCUGGGUGGCUUUUGCCCCAUUUGCUUCCUUGGCAAAUACUGAGGCUCAUUUAGAUUAUCCUUAAAAGUCACCCCACAUUUAACAGAACAAAGAAUUAACUCCAAUUAUUUUAACUAAAUGUUUGCACAUUUAUUGCUUACCACAGAAUAUUCCUAACAAGGAUUGCUUACUCAUUGUUGAUAUAAAUAGUAGGGGGAGGGAGAGAUGAACAGAGAAAGGAAGGGGUGGGAAAGUAAUACACUCCAAAAAUGAAGAAGGAAGAGUUAGUACAACUAGAGGGGAAAUGGUGAGAAGUAAUAACAUGGACAGAUGGGGAAGUGGCUGGUGGUUAAAGACAUUACAUUUAUGCAUCUUAGUGAUGGGGAAAUGAGCCUUAUGAGUCACAGUAUUUCUAAUUUGACCAAUUUGCAAGCUAUAAAUGUUUAUAAUGAGUGUAAUUUGUUGAACUUAUGUUAAUA
ensembl:lncRNA